UACGAAGGGGGCUAGCGUUGUUCGGAAUUACUGGGCGUAAAGCGCGCGCAGGCGGCUAUCCAAGUCAGUGGUGAGAGCCCGGAGCUCAACUCCGGAACUGCCAUUGAAACUGUUUAGCUUGAGGACGAGAGAGGUGAGUGGAGUUCCCAGUGUAGAGGUGAAAUUCGUAGAUAUUGGGAAGAACACCGGUGGCGAAGGCGGCUCACUGGCUCGUUUCUGACGCUCAGGCGCGAUAGCGUGGGGAUCAAACAGG
rnacentral:rRNA from 1 species